CUACAUAAACAAAUACAUGGGCGCAGACAUUUUGGACACCCAAAGUUGUGCGGAGGAGAAAAUACUACCUGGCGCGUGAUUGGUCAAUAAGAGAAAAGACUUGUUAUGUAUUUGACAAGUGAAAUAAAGUUGAUAAAAAUCUAAUAUCAAGACUUGGGUUUCUUUGAGAUAUGUAGGAGUUACAGGUAAAAAUUUGAAAGGAGGGGUGCCCUUUGGUUAGAGAUUUUCAUUUGGUGUCAAACGCACCUUGUUGUAAACAAAUGGAAAUUGAAAGUAAAAGUGCCGCGUGACGGUAUAUUUUUUCUGGCAUGUUUUGUUUUCCAAUAUCUUGAACUUUCACGACAAAAAGGCCAUUUGACGGAAAUUCAAUAUAUGUAUGAGUGACAGGGGCUCAAGUUUGUAUGGAAGUCUAUGGGAAAACAUUUAGUGGUGUUUGUCCUAUAGAAUAGCUAUGCAUUCUCAAGAAGGAGGAGAUUAAUGAACCCUCCCCUCUUACAUUGAACAAAACAUGGACACUCUCAAGAUGGUCCCUUUGCUUUCAUUAAGAGUUCCAAGAUGUGUGUCUGAUUGACUGGGGUGUGAAAUGUAACAGCCAAUGGUGUACUUAAGCUAGGACUGUCAGUCCCAAUAUUCAAGAGGUGAGAUAAGCAAUGGAUAUGUGUUCUAAAUAUACUAAAUUGACCACUUUUUAUAAAUGUUUCUUUUACUCUAUAGGAAAAACCCCUACAUAAACAAAUACAUGGGCGCAGACAUUUUGGACACCCAAAGUUGUGCGGAGGAGAAAAUACUACCUGGCGCGUGAUUGGUCAAUAAGAGAAAAGACUUGUUAUGUAUUUGA